AAAGCGAGUCUGAAUAGGGCGUUUAGUAUUUGGUCGUAGACCCGAAACCAGGUGAUCUACCCUUGGUCAGGUUGAAGUUCAGGUAACACUGAAUGGAGGACCGAACCGACUUACGUUGAAAAGUGAGCGGAUGAACUGAGGGUAGCGGAGAAAUUCCAAUCGAACCUGGAGAUAGCUGGUUCUCUCCGAAAUAGCUUUAGGGCUAGCCUCAAGUGAUGAUUAUUGGAGGUAGAGCACUGUUUGGACGAGGGGCCCCUCUCGGGUUACCGAAUUCAGACAAACUCCGAAUGCCAAUUAAUUUAACUUGGGAGUCAGAACAUGGGUGAUAAGGUCCGUGUUCGAAAGGGAAACAGCCCAGACCACCAGCUAAGGUCCCAAAAUAUAUGUUAAGUGGAAAAGGAUGUGGCGUUGCCCAGACAACUAGGAUGUUGGCUUAGAAGCAGCCAUCAUUUAAAGAGUGCGUAAUAGCUCACUAGUCGAGUGACACUGCGCCGAAAAUGUACCGGGGCUAAACAUAUUACCGAAGCUGUGGAUUGUCCUUUGGACAAUGGUAGGAGAGCGUUCUAAGGGCGUUGAAGCAUGAUCGUAAGGACAUGUGGAGCGCUUAGAAGUGAGAAUGCCGGUGUGAGUAGCGAAAGACGGGUGAGAAUCCCGUCCACCGAUUGACUAAGGUUUCCAGAGGAAGGCUCGUCCGCUCUGGGUUAGUCGGGUCCUAAGCUGAGGCCGACAGGCGUAGGCGAUGGAUAACAGGUUGAUAUUCCUGUACCACCUAUAAUCGUUUUAAUCGAUGGGGGGACGCAGUAGGAUAGGCGAAGCGUGCGAUUGGAUUGCACGUCUAAGCAGUAAGGCUGAGUAUUAGGCAAAUCCGGUACUCGUUAAGGCUGAGC
rnacentral:rRNA from 1 species